CCUACGGGUGGCAGCAGUGGGGAAUAUUGCACAAUGGGGGAAACCCUGAUGCAGCAACGCCGCGUGAGUGAAGAAGUAUUUCGGUAUGUCAAGCUCUAUCAGCAGGGAAGAAGAUGACGGUACCUGAGUAAGAAGCCCCGGCUAACUACGUGCCAGCAGCCGCGGUAAUACGUAGGGGGCAAGCGUUAUCCGGAUUUACUGGGUGUAAAGGGGGCGUAGACGGUGAGACAAGUCUGAAGGUAAACCCCGGGGCGCAACCCCGGGACUGCUUUUGAAACUGGCUGACUGGAGUGCUGGAGAGGCAGGCGGAAUGCGUAGUGUAGCGGUGAAAUGCGUAGAUAUUAGGAAGAACACCAGUGGCGAAGGCGGCUUGCUGGACAGUAACUGACGUUGAGGCUCGAAAGCGUGGGGAGCAAACAGGAUUAGAUACCCGUGUAGUC
rnacentral:rRNA from 1 species